rnacentral:lncRNA from 1 species
CUCACUCUUCCUUUCCUCACCACCAAAACCACUGCCACCAUAGCCAUUCAUUACUCAUAACAAAAUAAAACAAAUUAACAGCAACAUUUAUAAAACAAAAUAAAUCAACAAAAAAAAAUCAGAGGCAGAAGAACCAUAACAAUUUCAAUAAUCAUAACAAUUUUAAUAAAUAAUAAUUCGAUAAUCAUCAAUUACAAUUUCAAUUUUCAUAUCCAAAAACAGCAAAACAACAGAAGCAGUCACAGAUGACCACAGAAGUUCAAGCAGAAGCAGAGCAGAAGCAGAAGAAGAAGCAAAACAAGCAGAAGCAGAAGUUCAAGCAGUCACAAAAGAAGAAGCAACGCCGGUGAGAUCCCCCUCCCGAUGACCACGCGGCGGCGGCAGCGGCAGCGAACCCCAGAAACAAAUAAGUAGAGCGGCGGCGGUGGUGAGAAGAAAAAUUGAAGUUGAAAUUGGGGUUGGAAUUUUGAAGAGAGGGGCAUGAGGAAGGGAAUGGGGGUUAC